AUUGAACGCUGGCGGCAUGCUUUACACAUGCAAGUCGAACGGUAACAGGUUAAGCUGACGAGUGGCGAACGGGUGAGUAAUGCAUCGGAACGUGCCCGAUCGUGGGGGAUAACGCAGCGAAAGCUGCGCUAAUACCGCAUACGAUCUGAGGAUGAAAGCGGGGGACCGUAAGGCCUCGCGCGAUCGGAGCGGCCGAUGUCAGAUUAGGUAGUUGGUGGGAUAAAGGCUCACCAAGCCAAAGAUCUGUAGCUGGUCUGAGAGGACGACCAGCCACACUGGGACUGGGACACGGCCCAGACUCCUACGGGAGGCAGCAGUGGGGAAUUUUGGACAAUGGGCGAAAGCCUGAUCCAGCAAUGCCGCGUGCAGGAAGAAGGCCUUCGGGUUGUAAACUGCUUUUGUACGGAGCGAAAAGGUUCUCUCUAAUACAGAGGGCUCAUGACGGUACCGUAAGAAUAAGCACCGGCUAACUACGUGCCAGCCGCCGCCGUAACAC
rnacentral:rRNA from 1 species